rnacentral:snoRNA from 1 species
AAGACUAUACUUUCAGGGAUCAUUUCUAUAGUUCGUAAUGAGUGUUAUUAUUAUUAUUACCUUACUGUUGAUAAAUUAAGAAUAUUCCCACGAGGAGGAGAUGCAGCAUUCUCUCCUGAGCGUGAAGCCGGCUCUCGGUGUUGCUUCGGCAACUGCCGCUUGCCAUUGAUGAUCGUUCUUCUCUCUCUCGGGGGAGAAGAGGGAGAGGAUGCAUUCUGAGUGGC